UCUAUAGACACCUGGAACAGUCGAAUUGACCCCCUUGUCUGGGCGUCACCAUGUUGAGAGCCCCGCCCGCACUGAUUCACGAUGAACUCAUUAAUGAAUAAAGGGGUGGGGCAUGGGUGUCACAAAAAGGCCAG